rnacentral:rRNA from 1 species
CCUACGGGAGGCAGCAGUGAGGAAUAUUGGUCAAUGGACGAGAGUCUGAACCAGCCAAGUAGCGUGAAGGAUGACUGCCCUAUGGGUUGUAAACUUCUUUUAUAUGGGAAUAAAAUGUUCCACGUGUGGGAUUUUGUAUGUACCAUAUGAAUAAGGAUCGGCUAACUCCGUGCCAGCAGCCGCGGUAAUACGGAGGAUCCGAGCGUUAUCCGGAUUUAUUGGGUUUAAAGGGAGCGUAGGUGGAUUGUUAAGUCAGUUGUGAAAGUUUGCGGCUCAACCGUAAAAUUGCAGUUGAAACUGGCAGUCUUGAGUACAGUAGAGGUGGGCGGAAUUCGAGGUGUAGCGGUGAAAUGCUUAGAUAUCACGAAGAACUCCGAUUGCGAAGGCAGUUCACUGGACUGCAACUGACACUGAGGCGCGAAAGUGUGGGUAUCAAACAGGAUUAGAUACCCCAGUAGUC